rnacentral:rRNA from 1 species
UCUACGGGUGGCUGCAGUGGGGAAUAUUGCACAAUGGGCGCAAGCCUGAUGCAGCCAUGCCGCGUGUGUGAAGAAGGCCUUCGGGUUGUAAAGCACUUUCAGCGGGGAGGAAGGCGGUGAGGUUAAUAACCUCAUCGAUUGACGUUACCCGCAGAAGAAGCACCGGCUAACUCCGUGCCAGCAGCCGCGGUAAUACGGAGGGUGCAAGCGUUAAUCGGAAUUACUGGGCGUAAAGCGCACGCAGGCGGCCUGUCAAGUCGGAUGUGAAAUCCCCGGGCUCAACCUGGGAACUGCAUUCGAAACUGGCAGGCUAGAGUCUUGUAGAGGGGGGUAGAAUUCCAGGUGUAUCGGUGAAAUGCGUAGAGAUCUGGAGGAAUACCGGUGGCGAAGGCGGCCCCCUGGACAAAGACUGACGCUCAGGUGCGAAAGCGUGGGGAGCAAACAGGAUUAGAUACCCUAGUAGUC